GUUUUCAACUGAAAAAGUCAUCAACAAUAAAGUUGUAUAACUCAUCAAGAUAUAUAACUUUUAUUUUGAUCAUUUUUUCAUCCCACAAAGUUAUUUGUAAGAUUGUUCACAAAAUAAACAUAUCUUAUAUAGUUUUUAUAAAACUAUAUAAGAGAUGUACAUUUUGUAAAAAAAUCUUACAAAUUACUUUGUCGGAUGAAGAAAUGACCAAAAUAGAAGUUAUAGAUCUUGAUGAGUUAUACAACUUUGUUAUUGAUGACUUUUUCAGAUGAAAUC
rnacentral:pre_miRNA from 1 species